rnacentral:rRNA from 1 species
GGGUUUGGAUCAUGGCUCAGGACGAACGUUGGCGGUACGCUUAAUGCAUGCAAGUCGAGGGAGAACCAUUUGAUUCGUAAGAUUCGAAUGGGGAAACCGGCGAACGGGUGCGUAACACGUGAGGAACCUGCCCUGAAGAUCGGGAUAGCCCGGGGAAACCCGGAUUAAUACCGAAUAUCCUCUCCGGACCGCAUGGUCUGGUGAGGAAAUGGUCCGCCGCUUCAGGAUGGCCUCGCGGCCUAUCAGCUAGUUGGUGAGGUAACGGCUCACCAAGGCUACGACGGGUAGCUGGUCUGAGAGGACGAUCAGCCACACUGGGACUGAGACACGGCCCAGACUCCUACGGGAGGCAGCAGCAGGGAAUAUUGCACAAUGGGCGAAAGCCUGAUGCAGCGACACCGCGUGCGGGAUGAAGGCCUUCGGGUUGUAAACCGCUUUCAGGAGGGACGAAAAUGACGGUACCUCCAGAAGAAGGCCCGGCCAACUACGUGCCAGCAGCCGCGGUAACACGUAGGGGCCAAACGUUGUCCGGAUUUAUUGGGCGUAAAGGGCUCGUAGGCGGUUCAACAAGUCGAUCGUGAAAACCCGGGGCUCAACCCCGGGACGCCGGUCGAAACUGUUGUGACUAGGGUCCGGUAGAGGUGAGUGGAAUUCUCGGUGUAGCGGUGGAAUGCGCAGAUAUCGAGAGGAACACCAGUUGCGAAGGCGGCUCACUGGGCCGGUACCGACGCUAAGGAGCAAAAGCAUGGGGAGCAACAGGAUUAGAUACCCUGGUAGUCCAUGCCGUAAACU